rnacentral:lncRNA from 1 species
ACUCGAUAGUAGAAUUUGAAACUGCUAAUCCUCUUGAAGUCUUUGCAUAAUAGGAGUAUAGUACUUCAGAUGCUAUGUUGCAGAAGAUUUAAAAAUGGUAGAUAACAAUAAAUAGGCAACUACAAAAACAAUCUCCUGACAGAAAGCAUAGGGUUCGUGUCAAAAUAAUUAAUAAAAAUGAUCUUCACUGAUUAAGAAAUAAACAAUGCAACUACACACAGAUCAAACCAUCAUUUACGCUUGUCAUCUUCUUGGGCAGCGGCAGCAGCUACGCGUCACUCAGUGUCUUGGGCAGUUGGUGCAGCAGCGCAUCGCUCGGCGUCUUGCCAUUCUUCAAGAUCACCAACGACAUCCUCGCCACCUCCCUCGCCAUAUCUCUCUGAUCAUGCAUUCCAAAUUGAGCAGGAAGUACAGGCUUCAGAGGAAUUGAGAGAAUAAGAAUCAACACACAUUAACUAUUAUCAAUAGACUGACUCAACAACCAGAAUAAUAUACUUGUCAACAUUUACAUUUAUAUGUAAAAAUAAAGGCAAUAUAGUGUGCUUUAUGAAUCAAAGAUAGCAGCAAGUGUCCAGCCGGCGACCAUAUGAACCGAAGAUAGCAGCGAGCAAUCAGCGAACAACAUUAUGAAAUUAGUAGCUAUAUAAAGAGUACACUCUGAAGUAUAGCGCGAGAUUGUCAUAGUAAAGGAUGUAGCUAGAAUCUGGAUAAGAGAUUCCUGCAUACCUGCAGGAAAUAGGAUAGGGGCGAUAACUAGAACUUGCAUAUGACUACUCCUAGGUCAGUAGCCUUGAGAUGAGAACAUCAGGGGAAGACAAAAGCGAGCACUGCAGCACAUGAGCAAAAUAUGGAAUAAAGCAACACGAGAAGAAAAAAACAGAGGAACAAAUGGACAAGUACAAUGAGACUACCAGGAACAAAUGAUUCUUAUUCUCUAAGGAAAAAUUGUAUGUACAGAGAAAUUAUAGCUAUACAACUAACCAUAAGCAUGAGCUCCCAAAUGGCAAAACCAUUGGUCCUUUCUGAUGCAACAGAAUGCCAAGAGUGUUAAUGAUAAAAUGAUUUUGCUUGAACAAUUUCAUUUUGCUAAUUACCAAAACAUCCUAAGUGGGCUCCAAAUGGCAAAAUCAUCAAUCACCAAGGCAUUCCAAGUGUAUAUAUGCUUGGAUCUUUCUACCAGCAAACAUCAUGUGGAACAUUUCAAGCAUUAAGGAUGAACAAUUAAGAUUCAGAGAUACUAUUUGGGGUGUCCACUGUUAUCCUCGUUUUUUGGCAAUUAAUAAAAUGGAAGAUACAUAUCAUGGAUAGUUUAUUGGCAAAUAUUAGUAGGUGCUGCUGCAACUAUUAAAAUAAGUUUUCUUGGUUAUUAGUUUAUGAAAAGCUGGUCAUCCAGUAUGUCUAAAUGGAAGAUACAUGGCAAAAAAAGAUUGAAUAGAACAUUGAGCCAUCGAAAUCCAUUUGAGAUCAAAAUAUAUCAUGCACAAAAAUGGAAUUAGCUAGGCUAUCGUUAUUCUAUUUUAAAGUAAAAAAACAAAAGAAAAACACAGAAAGAUUAAAGCGCAAAUUGAUUACCUGAAGGGGCAUAUAAUGUCAACCUCUUCUCACAGGACUAAUCCUUAUUCUUUCAGUUUCUGCUACUCACACGACAUCAAACUUUCGUGUAACUGUUGAUUCAGUAUCCUGCAUUGUAGAAUGCACAACAUGAGAACCAUGGAGAAAAUAGUAUUCAAGGCUAGGAAUUCUUCAAAAGAGAAUAAAAAUAUAUGAGAGGGUAGAGGCCUAACUGUUUUAUCAAACAGCGGAAAAUAUUAUUUACCCCUAGCAGACAGUUCUUUCAUGAUUUCUCAUACAUAGAGAACAACUAACAAUUUCAGAAUGUUAUGUUAUAUUUAAACAAUAGAUCAUAGAC